UCUAUCCAGUUUCCCCUCGCGUACCCGUCGCUCCAUCGAGUCCUUUAGUAGAGAGACAACCCUGACGUUGGACAAUGGCAGCGGCGACAAGCCGAUCUGACAAAGGCUGCACCAUGGCAUCAAGGAGGAGAAGCAGACCGAUCGAAAGUUCAUCACUGGCUUCGACACGACGGACCUCACCGCCGCCAGAGACUCCCACGACAUCUCGCAAUGCCCAAGGCGACUUGUCGCCAACGCCGCCUUCAACAUCCUCUCCCGAGCACGCCCAGGCGGAGCUGUCUGCUGCUGCUGCUAAGUUUAGGAUUGUGAUGUAGGGGUUGAUAAAGCACGUUCAGGAAUAAGAGAUAUACGAGCCUCUGCUGCUGCUAAGUUCGCCGUCCGGAUGUGGGACACAUCACCGCAGGCUGGGUAAAUCGGGACGCUGCUCUGUACUCGCAUGUCAGCAUGAGGGACUUUUCCAUGCAAGAAAGAUUCAGACAAGGGGAUUUAUGUAUUUAGCGUGGUAACUGGUAUCUGAUACACACUUGCAAGUUGCAACAUGCGAAAACAUUGACCAAGAACAGCAGUACCUUCAGAAGUAUCAAGCAGCAGCUACUUUGAAGAGAACUAAGGGUUCGCGCCAUUUUCUGUAUAUUAGUUUACCGUCUAAUCAUAUCCUGAUCAAGUUUAUACAUACAUCGAUUAUUGAGUUUUACUAUAACAGAAUUA